CUUUCUUCAAACUCGAGACUCUUGAGUUUUCCUUCCAGCGUCACUGCCUUCGGUUACUAGAUAUUCUGAGGUGGUUCGUGUCACUUUUACUCAGGAAGACGCGACAAACGAAAGUUACCACGAUUUCUUACUGAGGCGGUUUCGCACUUAAAACGUCAAUGGGCAAAAACUCUCAGCCUGAGUUUUCUUUUGUUUGUUUGUUUUUAGUUUUUUUGAGACGCAGUUUUUACUCUGUCGCCCAGGCUGGAGUGCAGUGUCACGAUCUUGGCUCACUGCUACCUCGGCCUCCCGGGCUCAAGCGAUUCUCUUGCCUCAGCCUCCCGAGUAGCUGGGAUUACAGGCGUGCUGCCACCACGCCCGACUAAUUUUUAUAUUUUUAGUAGAGACGGGGUUUCGCCGUGUUGGCCACGAUGGUCUCGAACUCGUGACCUCAGGUGAUCCACCCGCCUCGGCCUCCCUCUCCCAAAGUGCUGGGAUUACAGGCGUGAGCCACCGAGCCCGGCCCCGAGUUUUCGAUUACUUGAAGAUGAGCUCGAUCUGGCGAGAAGAGAAGGGGCUGAAUACUUGUUUUUUGGUGAAAGGAAGGCUGGAGUGCAAUGGCGCGAUUUCAUCUCACCGCAACCUCCGCCUCCCGGGUUCAAGCGAUUCUCCUGCCUCAGCCUCCCGAGUAGCUGGGAUUACAGGCAUGCGCCACCACGCCCGGCUAAUUUCGUAUUUUUAGUAGAGACGGGGUUUCCCCAUGUUGGUAGGCUGGUCUCGAACUCCCGACCUCAGAUUUCAGGUAACUGCUGUAACUUGAAGAAAAGUGAAACUGCAGAAAAGGCAGGACCACUGGACUGCUGCUUUCAUUCUACGCCCACGUUUUAGAGUGCAUUCCCACAAUAAGCACUCUAACAAUGAAAACCAGGGGCCGAGGGAUGCACCUUCCACUCUACUUCCUUCCCCAGAAAAGAUCACCUUGGUACAGAAUAGCAAAUGGGUAAGUGAAACACUGUAUAGCUUUUGGCCCUAUACUUAGUAUUUCUUAACAUUUACACAGCGUUUUCACAUUUCCAAAGCACAGUACCAACGUUUAUUAAUCCUCACAACACCCCUGUGAGGUAGGUCAAUAUGUCCUUUAGAGUAGAAAACUGAGGCAGAGGUCAAGCAAACCUGCCCUGGGCCACAGAGCAGCAGAUGAAGGGGCUAGACCUGGAUCCAGAAGCUAGGGCUCUUGGUCCUGCCUUCAUCCACUGGUGGACAUCACAUGGGCUUAUUUUUACCAGUGAAGGUUAUGUGAAGGACAAAACGCACUCAGCCAGCAACGGAAAAUCAACAGUUCAAACAGCACUGGGGAACACGUCAGUUAAAGAGACGAAACACUGAUCAGCUCAUGAAUGAGACAAGAGAACAUGCUGCUGAGGAAGUGUGGAAUCAUCACGACCGGGGACUAGACCAAGAAUGGGCGCUCAGGAGGGUUCAGGAAAAUGUAAACAAACUAGGAACCCAUCCAAGGGGUGACAGGCCCAAAUCCCUAUGGGUCUCCAAAUGGUAGAAAAAUUAGAAAAAGAUAGUGGAAAAAUCCAACCACGCAACCUAACUUUAAACUAGGAAUGACAGUAAUGUUCAUUCACAUUAGAAAGGCCGACAGUGUUUGUAAUAUAACUACUGGCGACAGUAUCCUAUUUGUAUGCCAACUUUCAUCUCAAGUAUUCUACUUUUCUUUCCCCACAGACAAACAAGUGUUGUUCUUUACAGCAGACCUCUUUCCCUCUACAUACCAAUCUAUCCACUCGCAUAACUACUAAGUGGCUCACUGGUAUAUGUCUCAUGCUUAAUUGGCUGAGCUAGGCGUGGAAUCCUGGAAACCACAACAGACUGUACUUUGCUCCUGUAUUUCAGGAAUAACUGUCGCUAACCUGCCUCUGUCCGAUUCCACCUUCUAUGAAGUACACACAGAGGAGCAGUUC
rnacentral:lncRNA from 10 species